rnacentral:rRNA from 1 species
CAGUCGCCGCGGUAAUACGGAGGGUGCAAGCGUUAAUCGGAAUUACUGGGCGUAAAGCGUGCGUAGGCGGUUCGUUAAGUCUGUUGUGAAAGCCCCGGGCUCAACCUGGGAAUGGCAAUGGAUACUGGCGAGCUAGAGUGUGUCAGAGGAUGGUGGAAUUCCCGGUGUAGCGGCGAAAUGCGUAGAGAUCGGGAGGAACAUCAGUGGCGAAGGCGGCCAUCUGGGACAACACUGACGCUGAGGCACGAAAGCGUGGGGAGCAAACAGGAUUAGAUACCCGCGUAGUCCCUGUCUCUUAUAC